GACUCAUUCACUGAGACACUGAGUGAGCAAAUGAGUUGCACACAACUCGCCCAUCUGUGCUGCCUCCAAGCUCUGCCUUCCUGCAACCUAUGCUCUUCCCUCCAAGCUCCACACAGGUAAUAAUUACCUUCUAGUGUUCUUCUUUGUCAGCUAUUGAAGAAUUCACUGUCAACAGUGUCUUUCAUGCUUCCUCUGAGGACUGUCUGUUAUUAAUACAAUUCAAAUAUAGCAAAGUAAUAGAAGAAUUCACCAUCUUGCAUCACUGGGGUACUUAAAACUAUAUUUCAGACUGAUGUGUUUCCUACUUGAGCCUGAAUGGGGGAAUACAGUCACCUCUACUGUCACCAAAGAGGUCAUGUAUAAACCAUUCUUCACUGAAUAUCCUACAGAAAGGAGCAUGGAUUAAGGCCUCUCACAGAAUCUUCGCUGCCUUUGGACUAUAGUUUUUCAUUUUCAUCCACCACAGGUGCUGCAUCUGAAAUAUGUCUCAGUGUAAAAAGCUAAAUACCUUACAGUUCAAGGUUUUGUCCUAUGAGAGUAAAGCAAAAGUGACAUCCAGUGGCCUGCAAAUCCACAUUGAUCAGAGUUCAUAUUACAAAAGCACUGAAUAGCUUUUCAAACCAUUUAAUCUUUUUUCUGCUGACUUGCAUGAAUUUUCUCUUCAGUAGUCUCUUUUAUAAAGUUAUAAUUUGUGUUAAAAAUAAGAUUAUAGUUCUAGAGUUGUGAACAAGUUUGGUUUGAACACGUAAGGUUCUUGACUGCAGUAAGAAAACGCUUAAGAAUUGCACGGAUAAUCAAGGAGAGGUUAACUUUGUAAGUAUUUGAAUGUUUCAUUAUUGACACUGAACCUAUGGAAUGCUUUGGGAUAGUUUUUUAAAGUUAAUUUAACAGGAGUGUAGACAUUUCAUAGGCAAUUUUAUAAAUGUGAGUAAACAAUGAGCUUGAAAAGAUGUGCCUUCUGGCUAAACAUUUCCCAGACUAUUCUGUAAAGCAAUCCAACAGUUCUGAGCAAAACUGGACUAGCCAAUCAAAUAGAAACACAGAGAUGGGAGGGAACACAAAUGCCCAGGGGAAGGAGUGGAGAGCAUCAGUAGCCUGAAACCAGAACAGACAGAGAAUUACACAAUAACACACUGCAAACGAAAACUAUUUUGCACUCUGUGCUCCUACGCUGCCUUCUUAACCAAGACUGAUUUCAGAUAGAUAAGUCUGCCCAUGUAACUCUGCUAGAGCAUCUCCGACCAGAAUGGCUCACAAGUUUUUUGUUCUAUGAAGAGCCUAUACAUAAGCAGCUUGUAACUUCUGGACCUCUUCCUUCUGAUACUAGAUGUGAUCAAUAUACACAGUAAGUCUCAGAAAAUAAAUGGGAGAAGACAGAGAAAAAAAUACAGCUUGUGUGGAGACACAUAAGGAAAUGAUUUAAAAAAAAAAGUGAUAACUAAAAGACAAGAGCAAGAGGCAAUCAAAGGAGGAAAGCCAAUGUAGUUUGUCAUCUUUCCUGGAACAACCACUCACUAGUAACAGGAGCACCAUCCAAAUAACAUAGCAGAGUCACCUUUUUUAUCUUAGUAAAUAAAUCAAGACAUGAUACACCC
ensembl:lncRNA